rnacentral:rRNA from 1 species
GAUGAACGCUGGCGGCGUGCCUAAUACAUGCAAGUCGAGCGAACGGACGAGAAGCUUGCUUCUCUGAUGUUAGCGGCGGACGGGUGAGUAACACGUGGAUAACCUACCUAUAAGACUGGGAUAACUUCGGGAAACCGGAGCUAAUACCGGAUAAUAUUUUGAACCGCAUGGUUCAAAAGUGAAAGACGGUCUUGCUGUCACUUAUAGAUGGAUCCGCGCUGCAUUAGCUAGUUGGUAAGGUAACGGCUUACCAAGGCAACGAUGCAUAGCCGACCUGAGAGGGUGAUCGGCCACACUGGAACUGAGACACGGUCCAGACUCCUACGGGAGGCAGCAGUAGGGAAUCUUCAGCAAUGGGCGAAAGCCUGACGGAGCAACGCCGCGUGAGUGAUGAAGGUCUUCGGAUCGUAAAACUCUGUUAUUAGGGAAGAACAUAUGUGUAAGUAACUGUGCACAUCUUGACGGUAACUAAUCAGAAAGCCACGGCUAACUACGUG